ensembl:rRNA 5S_rRNA 5S ribosomal RNA
CUCUACGGCCAUACCACCGUGAAUGCGCCCGAUCUCGUCUGAUCUCGGAAGCUAAGCAGGGUCGGGCCUGGUUAGUACUUGGAUGGGAGUACUAUCCAGUACGUGCCAGUCUAGUUGAGU